GAAAUAUUCAGAGUAGAAUGGGGAGAAGCAGGCUAGAGACUCCCAGUAGGUUUUAGCAAUAAAUGUGCAAAUAUCACAGAAGGCAAGACAUUUCUUGUCCAGAGUCACAGGUCAUGGGAGUCAUUGGUACUAUUGAGAUAAUUUUAAAAGACCUUUCUGAAAUAUCACCUUCAAGCAGUUGAGGGAUUUUGGUUUGCUAACAAAACCAUCUGGGACAUUCUAGUAAUUAGAACAAUCACAGCCAGGACUCAUGUGAGAGAAGGUUUCAAACUCUUCCUUAUUAUUGAAUUUUGGAAUUUGGAACCAACUCCUUCACCCCAUUGUAUUUUCUUUUGCCAUCUUUCUUACUCACCAAACCUAUCAUUAUUUCUUCCUUUCCAGGGACUUCUAUGCCCUCUGCAGUUUGCCUCUUCCUCUGCUAUUUUUUCAUGUAUGUGUAUGUUUUUUGCCUGUAUUUGCAAUGCCAGCCAUCAUUUGCCAUGUCUUCUAGCGGCAACCUGCAUUUAGCCCAGAUCUGCUGUGAUUAUUCCUUUUCACAAGCCACAAUGACUCCGGAAAACCUGGCUGUAAACACCAGCACUGCCACCAGCUAAGGAUCUGUGAUCAGGAGUGCCAUCUCACGGUAACAGGGGUGAAGAUAAGCUUGUGCAGGCCACUGGCUAACACAGUUCAUCCCAUGCCUCCUACAUACCAAGCACUGUGCCAGGCACUUUUCACGUCUGGCAUCCUCAGAAUCCUCCAAAAGGUGGGUGAUAUGGUUUCACUGUGUCCCCACCCAAAUCUCAACCUGAAUUGUAGCUCCCAUAAUCCCCACAUGUUAUGGGAGGGACUUGGUGGGAGAUAAUCGAAUCAUGGGGGCAGUUUCUCACAUAUUAUUCUCAUGAUAGUGAAUAAGUCUCAUGAGAUCUGAUGUUUUUAUAAGGGGUUUCUGCUGUGGCUUGGCUCUCAUUGUCUCUUGCCAACAUCACGUACAAAGUGCCU
ensembl:lincRNA